AUUUAGGUGUAUUUUCAACAUGUUCGAACUGAUGCAGUGUUUAUUAAUUAUUUUUCAAUUACCAUUGUAGAGUUCAACCUGCAGACGGGCCGGCCAGUUUGCCGCUGAAGGUCACGGUGAACAUUACGUGUAAAACUGUCAAUGCGGUGGUGUAGAGGUUGGGUGAGAAAGACCCAUCCCCAGCAACGCCAACCUAAAGAAGGAAAGGCCAGUUUGCAUUUUCUUCAAUUGAAGGUCACGGAGGUCAUAACGUAAUACGUAUCAUGCGACGGCGGAGAGGUUGGGUGAGAAAGGAGAGAGAAAAGGCCAGAGACAUCAGUCGAGUGAGGAUCUCCGACACGGAAACAUCUGCUGCGCACUAUCUGUCACUUUCUGCCUUCUUCACCGUAUUGCCAGUUCGCAUCCAUGGUUAAUAAGGCGUCGUACGCUGUUCGGUGUUGUGUCGUUGUUUGGUGGGUCGACCACUGGUGUAUCGAUGUCUUCUUGGUAUGGCGGCUACCAAACCGCAACGCCACCACCUUCCCAAAAGCAACUCACGCAACGACCAGUUAUUGCACCAAGGUCUACAAGUACUACACUACUAAGGCACCGGAGUUUUAUACCACAAUUUCCGCUGCCCCGAGCCACUACACUGACGUCCUGAAGUAUUACUCUGCCCCGAGUUACUACACCACCAAGGCGACGGAGUAUGACUUUGCAUGCUGCUCCAUCCUACUACAUCGAGGCUCCCAACUGCUACACCGAGGCUCCCGCUGAUUACUCCACCGAGGCUCCCGCUGAUUACUCCACCGAGGCUCCCGCUGAUUACUCCACCGAGGCUCCCGCUGAUUACUCCACCGAGGCUCCCGCUGAUUACUCCACCGAGGCUCCCGCUGAUUACUCCACCGAGGCUCCCGCUGAUUACUCCACCGAGGCUCCCGCUGAUUACUCCACCGAGGCUCCCGCUGAUUACUCCACCGAAGCGGCAAAGUACUACUCUUCCCCGACGUACUACACAGAGGCUGAUCUUUCGUGCUACGUUGAACAGCAAUACUACACUAUGCUCCAGUUCGCUACACCACGGCCUACGCUACACAGCAGCCCCCAAGUACUACACCGAAGGAGCCGUCUAUUACACAACAACGUAUGCUGCAGUACUACACCGAGGCCCCAAGUACUACAUCACUAAGGCACCGGAUUUCUUCACGUCUAUGUAUGCUGCCCCUGCCUACUACACCGAGGCCCCGCAUUACUACAACACUGAAUCCCUCAAUUACUACACUACAACUACGCUGCCCCGAGCUACUACACCUACUUCCCGAAGUAUUACUGUGCGUAAAAGGAGUCGUCUAAAAAAAAAAAAAUCAUCCCCGAAUUGCAGUGCCCUAUCUGCCACCAACUGCAUUCCUCAUCGUGUAACCGAUUUGCAAUUCUGGUUAACUAUGGCGUCGUGCUCCUGUUGGGUGUUGUAUCGUUGAUGGCUGGAUCGAACGCAGGUGUAGUGAUGUCUUCUUGAUAUGGCGGAUAUCAAACCGCAACGCCGCCGCCUUCCUACACAACUUAUGCAACGAUCAGUUCCUGCACCGAGGUUUUCAAGUACUACGCCACUAAAGCACCGGAGUUUUAUACCACAACUUAUGCUGUCCCGAGCCACUACACUGACACCCCGAAGUAUUACUCUGCCCCGAGUUACUACACCACCAAGGCGACCGAGUACUACAUGACAAGGCAUGCUGCCCCAUCCUACUACACCGAGGCUCCCAAGUAUUACUUAGUUCUCGGCUACUUACUGCACCGACACUCCUAACUACUUCUGUUCCCAGCAGCUACACCGAGGCUCCUGUUGAUAACUACACCAAAACGGUCGAAUACUACACCGAAGCGGCAAAGUACUUCCUUGCCCCGAGCUACUCAAUCGGAACUGAGGCGGCCAAUUAUUACGCAGUCCCGACUUACAACCCAGAAGCUGCUCUUUCGUACUACAUUGAACAGAAAUACUACACUGCUCCAGUCUACUACAC
rnacentral:misc_RNA from 1 species